CGGGAGACCAGAAUGUGGCUAUCAUGGAGUCAUUCGAUUUUAACAGAGAUCCUUUCUCUAUAACUAAUUCAACGCAUGGCUAUAUGGGUAAUUUUGAACAAGUGGAUCUUUCUCCAACCUGAACGGCUGCCAGGACGGAGAGAAGCACAGACAAAAACCAAUCCAAGACAAAACAACUUCCUGACUGUGGAGGAAAAGGAGCAAUGAGAUAAAGAAGAGAACAACGGAAUAAGUUGUGGCUCAGGGGCCCGAGAAUUGGCCUUCCACCCUGCCCUCUCCUAAGACCAAUCCCUGAUGAUCCUGAGGAUCAUCAAAACUCCACAGAUGUUUGGGGGGUUCCAGGGAAAAGAUAAAUUCCCCACAUCCAAGAUAGAGUAGGGAGACCUCAACCCUUUAGAGAAGCUGUGUAGAGCCUGGAACUUCAGCUGUAGAGUAGAAAUGGCUAGAGAAGAGCAUGCAACAAUAUUCCAAGCUCUGAGAGACAUAAAUAGAGAGGAGCAAACCAGGCACUAUGAUCUAGGGAGAGAACAGAAUGACCACAGAGGUGGCCUGUGAGCAGAGAAGUAUGUUUCAGUCAAGCAUGCAAUGAGCUGGUUCCACGAAACCAAAGACCAGCAAUGAUCAUACGUCUCGUCAGAAACCAAGAGCACCUAUUAUGUGCUAGGUGAUGUUCUAGUCCUUGGAUCCAGCGCUGAAAAAAACAGCUAAGUGUGCUGUUGUGAUUUCUGCAAUGUAUGGAGAUUUCCCCAAAUGUAGGAGGUUAACGGAUGACGUUACACCUGCCUAGCAGUAGCAGACAUCAUGAUUUCUAAGCCACAGGGAUUCCCUUUGUGGCAUCCAGCUUUCUUCUGAAGACCCCGCUUUGUGCCUUGUGGCUGAUUCCUAUCCUCACUCUCUAUAGAAGUCUUUCUCCAUCAUCUCUUUCCCUCAGAUCCAGGGGUUUCUCUGAAACAUUUCUCUCUUGAGCCUACAAAAGAAAAUGGAAAAUUGAUUUAAAAAAGGUAGAACAGAAUCACGUAGCUUAUUUUGUCUUGUCUUAGUGCCCUGGACCUUAACUUUCAUAAACAAAAGCCGCACGACAGUGUUUGCUG
rnacentral:lncRNA from 1 species